rnacentral:tRNA from 1 species
CAAAAGAUAAGCUAAAUAAGCUAAUGGGCUCAUACCUCAUUUAUGAGAAAAUAUCUCUCUUUUUA